ensembl:lncRNA
UUGCCCCCUUUUUUGUUUCCUUCUUUCACAAAACAUUACCUCAGUCCUCUGCGUCUGAACUCUUUAUGACCCCGGAGUGAAAUGUGACUAUAGGGUUUCAGAAAGCGGAGUGAGCAACUCAAAUACUUGUAAAAGUUUCGCGACUAACUGUAAAUUCUUCAGCUCCAAAGCCUCAUUUUCCCCUCCACCGAUUCUCGGAGCCUGGUGUCAGAGGGUUAGUAAAGGGUGGAGGGGAGAGAGAGCGAGAGAGAGAGAGCGAGGAGACCAAGACAAAACGUAACCGCGGCUUCCCCCCCCCUCACAGGCUCGGUAUGAAAUAUGCUGCCCUCUAGCGACACCUGGCGGCCACAGCGAAUUCCGAGCCGUCGAGAGAUUUGCCACAAAGGCAAGAAGGCCCACAAAAUACGCCAAUCUUAAUUAAGCACAUUAACACGAAAUAAAUCCCCAGAAAAAUGACCACGCAAAUGUGUUUUAAAAUUAAAAUUAAAGGUAGCUCCAUUAAACUGUUUAUUCUUGAGGUACCGGAGGUCAUAAAUCAAAAACUGAACUUUAUAAAAUGCCUUGUUUUUGUUUUACUGAUUUAAUCUAAAUAGUGCACGCAUUUUUUUAUAAUCUGCCAUUUGUUUUCUUGUGGUGCUUCAAAAAUAAAUUAAGUUCAAAUGUCUGCGCCCUUUAUAUUUGAUUCUAUUAUAAGACGGUCACUGUGUGACACAAAAGAGGAAAAAAAAGUUGGCCUUUAUCAGCCCUAGCCUGCAUUUAAUUUAAGGCACCGCGUAUAUUUUGUGUUAUUGAGUUUAUCUGAUUUUUUAUUUGUUUCUUUUUUUUAGCCAAUUUUGAAAUCAAUUCUGCAGCCACAUAAAUCUAAAUAAACUGGACAAAGAAAACCAACAGCACUUAAUAAGAACGCUCACGUGCUUAUUUUAAUAAUAAUCUGAAAAUCCGGGUUUUUUCUGUUAUGAGCGAUUUUGAAAUAAACUAAUAAACAAAUUCAACGUUUUACAGGCUUUUACGCAAGAAAGGCACAAGAAAGUCAGCAAAUCGAUUCACAUCACGAUUCUGGAAACAACCUCAGCACCUAAAAAACUAUUUAUAAAAUAUUAAUGCUGGAAAGUGAUUUAGUUUUUAUUCUUCUUUUUACAGGAAAAAAAAUCUUUCACGUAUAAAAUUAUAUAUUGAUGUAUUUCCCCAACGCAUUUUCCCCAUACAUUUAUAAAAAAAAAAUUCCUUUCCCCCCCUUAUCAAACUACCCAAACUACUAAUAUUUCCCCUCCUCAGUGCGUGCAGCCGCUCUGCAGAGAGAGUCUCAGCUCUGCUCGGCUGUGACACAGUUUGAGCAGGUCACUGCCGAGAUUAGAGCCCGUCGUUAACGCCUGCUCGGAUACACCAAAUGCUGAUUUAAUGAGCUUGCAUUGGGUGUUUGUCCAAGAAUACCUGGUGUGCAUGCGUUAGUAACGCCACAGACCGUAAUCCCUGUGUUUUCCCCUGAACACGUGGCUUUAGGGGCAACCUAAAAACACUGCAAAGAUUUGACUAUGAUUUCUUUUUCAUUUCUUUCAUUUUAUUUUAUUUCAGUCUUCCUGAACAGGUCGAAGCCUCUAAGUCCCGUAUCCAGCCACAUUACCACAUGUAAUUGAGAGAAGUUUAAGUGGAGGCCGGGAAACCGAGGAGUUAAUAGCGGUGACCCUCUUGCUGUGCCUCUGUCGCUCAUCAUUUAUCAGGCUUAAGGGGCUUAAACAGGCGACGCAGACCCACCUUUUAUUACAUAUCAAACCCUCUCUCCCUUAUCUGCAUUAUAGGAAAUACAUGCAUCGUUGGCCGUUAUGCGGAUUUGGAAAUAGAAACACGUCCAAUAAAGUCGCCCUCCUCCGCUGAUCAGAGGAAACGUGUCUUUAGGCGCCACAGAGACACCCCAGCGGUUUAAGUCUUUAUUAAAUUAUCUUAAUUCCCCUCUCCACUUUGAAACGAAUAUAAAUGCGGCUCUUCUGUUGUUUGUCCAGCGCGGAAGAGAGGAAACGUGAGUGCGGAGGUCCGCCACGGUUCAAGAUUAGGAGGCGAAUAAAACUGUAAAUGCAGACUCCAAGCGCCUGCAAACCUGCCCAGAGCGGAUAUAACGUGCACGACGUUAAAACUCGAGUGUGGCAGAUUUUUCUCUUUCCCUUUUUUAAAUUUAGAUGUCAAAAUAUAAAAUAUCACAAAUAUAAAUAUAUAUUUGUGUGUGUGUGUACACAGGUGGCAGCUGCUUUAUUGGAAAAAUUAAUUAAAGGUGAGAAAAAGGCAAAAAACUUCCCCAAGACAAGAUAUAUUUAGAGGCUCACGUGACUUCCGUCAUUCUUCUUUAUUUAUAGCGAGCUUUAAUGAAUUAGUACACAGGCAAACCAUUACAAUACCUGCUCCCUUUAUCCGGUCACGGCUUUUCUUGAGAUUUGUGGCGCGCGUGUGUGUAGAAAAAAAAUGCAUUUAUUACUUAAAAUUCUACCGAUAAAAAUCCUCUUUAAUAUUCCGGCAUCCCUAUAGGAAACGGAUUAAUUUUUUUAUUUAUUUUUAUUUUUAUUUAUUGCUGGCACAGGCUUUCAGUUAAACUUCAGGUCCAUGCCUCAGUUGUCUGCUGGUUUCCUCUGAGGAGAGCUCAGUUAGUCAGCCUGAACGCAGCUGCAUUCACGUGGUGCGAGGGGGUUUGAUAUUCCAGUCACACAACAGAGUAAACACUGCUCUCUUAUUCAAUAAACAUCAUUGAUAAGGACCCCAUAUCAAAGCCAUUUGAAAUACAAAAACUAAGCAUCAGCAUUUAUUUUUUACUUUGUUAAUGAAGACAUUGCAUUUAUUGUUGUUUACACAUAUAUUUUAGCCUGUAUCAUAAAUAGCCUUUAUUAAAAAAUGUUUUGUUUUUUUCUCUGAAAAUAAAUGUAUUGUGUAUUUUGUGAUUCUUAUGACUUAAUUAUAAAUUCUUGAAUCUAAAUGCAAUUAAAAUGUUUCAAAACUCUCA